AUACGAAGGGGGCAAGCGUUGUUCGGAAUAACUGGGCGUAAAGCGCACGUAGGCGGAAUGUUAAGUUAGAGGUGAAAUCCCAGGGCUCAACCCUGGAACGGCCUUUAAUACUGGCAAUCUAGAGACCGAGAGAGGUGAGUGGAAUUCCGAGUGUAGAGGUGAAAUUCGUAGAUAUUUGGAGGAACACCAGUGGCGAAGGCGGCUCACUGGCUCGGUACUGACGCUGAGGUGCGAAAGCGUGGGGAGCAAACAGGAUUAGAAACCCUAGUAGUCC
rnacentral:rRNA from 1 species